rnacentral:rRNA from 1 species
CCCUUAGAUGUUCUGGGCAUCACGCGCGCUACAAUGGUCUUCGCAAACGGAUGCAUUCUCGAAGGAGAAUGCCAAUCUUGGAAUCUAUGCCUUGGUCGGGACAGUUGCUUGCAAUUUUUCGACUCGAACCAGGAAUUCCUUGUAAUCGUGAUUCAUCACAUCACGAUGAAUACGUCCCUGCCCUUUGUACACACCGCCCGUCGCUCCUACCGAUCGAAGAGUUAGGUGAAUUGUUUUGAUCGAUAAGAUUUGACUAUGGUCAACUCUCGUUGUGAAAUUCUGUGAAUCUGACUGUUUAGAGGAAGGAAAAGUCGUAACA